rnacentral:miRNA from 1 species
GUAUCUCCCUCUCCAUCUCUUUGAUAGUAUCAGGAGGUACUAUCAAAGAGAUGGAGAGGGAGAUACUAUUAAG